rnacentral:rRNA from 1 species
GACGAACGCUGGCGGCGUGCUUAACACAUGCAAGUCGAACGGAAAGGCCCUGCUUUUGUGGGGUGCUCGAGUGGCGAAGGGGUGAGUAACACGUGAGUAACCUGCCCUUGACUUUGUGAUAACUUCAGGAAACUGGGGCUAAUACCGGAUAGGAUCUCCUGCUGCAUGGGGGGGGUUGGAAAGUUUCGGCGGUUGGGGAUGGACUGGCGGGUUAUCGGCUGGUUGGGGGGGUAGGGGCUUACCAAGGCUUUGACGGGUAGCCGGCAUGGGAGGGUGACCGGCGACAUUGGGCCUGAGAUAGGGCCCAGAAUCCUACGGGAGGCAGCAGUGGGGAAUAUUGCACAAUGGGCGGAAGCCUGAUGCAGAAGCGCCGCGUGCGGGAUGACGGCCUUCGGGUUGUAAACCGAUUUCGACUGUGACGAAGCGUGAGUGACGGUAAUGGGUAAAGAAGCACCGGCUAACUACGUG